rnacentral:rRNA from 1 species
AUUGAACGCUGGCGGCAGGCCUACACAUGCAAGUCGAACGGUAACAGGUUGUGCUUGCUCAUCGCUGACGAGUGGCGGACGGGUGAGUAAUGCUUGGGAACUUGCCUUUGCGAGGGGGAUAACAGUUGGAAACGACUGCUAAUACCGCAUAAUGUCUUCGGACCAAACGGGGCUUCGGCUCCGGCGCAAAGAGAGGCCCAAGUGAGAUUAGCUAGUUGGUAAGGUAACGGCUUACCAAGGCGACGAUCUCUAGCUGUUCUGAGAGGAAGAUCAGCCACACUGGGACUGAGACACGGCCCAGACUCCUACGGGAGGCAGCAGUGGGGAAUAUUGCACAAUGGGGGAAACCCUGAUGCAGCCAUGCCGCGUGUGUGAAGAAGGCCUUCGGGUUGUAAAGCACUUUCAGUUGUGAGGAAAAGUUAGUAGUUAAUACCUGCUAGCCGUGACGUUAACAACAGAAGAAGCACCGGCUAACUCCGUGCCAGCAGCCGCGGUAAUACGGAGGGUGCGAGCGUUAAUCGGAAUUACUGGGCGUAAAGCGCACGCAGGCGGUUUGUUAAGCUAGAUGUGAAAGCCCCGGGCUCAACCUGGGAUGGUCAUUUAGAACUGGCAGACUAGAGUCUUGGAGAGGGGAGUGGAAUUCCAGGUGUAGCGGUGAAAUGCGUAGAUAUCUGGAGGAACAUCAGUGGCGAGGGCGACUCCCUGGCCAAAGACUGACGCUCAUGUGCGAAGUGUGGGU